rnacentral:lncRNA from 1 species
UAAAACAUUAGACCCUGCCGUGUUUGCCCAGUCCUCCAAGAAUGCUUCUUCCUCCUGACUUGUGCAGCAUUCUGCGAAUUCCCUUCUUAAUCUUGUUGCUCUCCCUCCCUGCUAAAGCCUCCUCUUUCAAUCUCACCCUCCCCAACCAACACCCCUACCCUGAGGCUGUGGCUCAUGAAGUACAAAGGUAAUAACUUUGCCCCAUUUGCUCUCUGGGUUUUGCUCAUUAUUGCAUUCUCUCUUACAUAUGCAUCUCUGUUUUCUCCUAUGCAUUUCCACCCACCUAGCAUUGACUGACUGGACCGACUGGACUUUGAUUCUUUCCCCAUUGUUUUUGCAAAAGAGACCUUCAAAAUACCCAUCUGGGUUUUGCUUAACUCAGCAAAUUUGUGGAAAAAUUGUUCUCAUUUCCCCUUUCCUGACUCGCCACUCUCCCCUCUCACCUCCUGACUAGCCACUCUGUUUCAGAAUGGUUUUUUUUUAACCACAAAUGCUGACCUUUCCUUGCUUCCUCGUCAAGUUUUAUGAUCUGAGACGCUUUUAGUUUCUUGAUAAACCAUCUUGAUUUCGAACACUAGCCAACUGUACCAUGUGGUUUGUGUGUUUCUGCUGGCAUUUUACCGCUUAUACCUUGCUUUCGUUUUCCUCCCAAAAGAAUCGCCCAAUCAGCUCUUGCUUUUUCAUCCAAGGAAAAAUCUUGGCCUCCUCAUUUGUCAAUUUCCCAAUCUGGGCCAUCCCCAUUUUUCCUUUUCUCUUUUGAUACAACUAGAUAGGAAGGAAAAUCGAACGCAGCAUCUCCGGCCAUCCACGUUUUUUUUUUUUCAAAAAUAUACUACUAACAACUCAUCCUCAUUUUUCACACACAUUUCCAUUCCUUCCUUCUCAUAAUCAGGAAGGUAAAUGCAUCUUUAUCGCGAAGAGAACUACUCUCCACAACGGUCCACGACCAAGCCCAAUGCCUGACCGGCAACCCAAUAGAUGACUGCUGGAAAUGCGACCCCAACUGGGCCAACAACCGCCAGCGCCUGGCCGACUGCGCCAUUGGGUUCGGCCAAGCCGCAAUGGGCGGCAAAGGUGGCCAGAUCUACGUGGUCACCGACUCCUCCGACCACGACGCCGCGAACCCAACUCCGGGCACCCUCCGGCACGCCGUCAUCCAAGACGAACCCCUCUGGAUAAUUUUUGCGGCCAACAUGCAAAUCAAGCUUAAGCAUGAACUAAUCGUGAACAGCUUCAAGACCAUUGACGGUCGAGGGGCAAAUGUGGAAAUCACUGGGGGUGGCUGUAUAACGUUACAGUACGUAAGCAACAUCAUUAUUCAUAACAUUCACAUUUACGACUGUGUCCCUAGCGGAAACACUAACAUACGGUCGAGUCCAACGCAUGUUGGGUGGAGAGGGAAAUCCGACGGUGAUGGGAUCUCGAUAUUUUCGUCCAGGAAUCUUUGGAUUGAUCAUUGUGCGCUUUCUCAUUGUACCGAUGGGUUGAUUGAUGCUAUCAUGGGUUCCACUGCCAUUACCAUCUCUAAUAGCUUUUUUACCCAUCACAAUGAAGUCAUGUUGCUUGGCCAUGAUGAUAAGUAUUUACCCGAUUCCGGCAUGCAGGUCAGUAAAAAUUACCCAAAAAAAAAUUUUUUUUUUGUGGGGGGGCGGGGGGUGGUGGGGCUUUCGUAUCUGAAGUUGUGGGGUAGACAGUAAAAAUUGAUUGAUUAAGAGGGUGAUUGGUAUUAAUUUUGAUUAAUUAUAUUUUUGGGAUAGGUGACAAUUGCGUUUAAUCAUUUUGGAGUGGGGUUAGUACAGCGUAUGCCAAGGUGCAGGAGAGGGUACAUACACGUGGUGAACAAUGACUUCACAGAAUGGAAGAUGUAUGCAAUUGGUGGUAGUGCUAAUCCUACCAUCAAUAGUCAGGGAAAUAGGUACAUCGCCCCGCCCGACCCGGAUGCCAAGGAGGUAAUUAAUCCACUUUUACAGCCUUUUCAUAUUUACUGCUGACAUUUUGUUUUUCCAUCGUUAUUAGCUAGUGUUUAGUGGUUUGUACUGUUGUCUGAUUACAGAAUUAUUGGCUCAAUGAUGGGAGUAACAUGAUACAAUACUCUGCUUAAAGGGAUUUUUGCAUUGGAGGCGCGUACUUUUACGCGCCGCCAAAGGCAGCUUUUGGGAUUGUGGUAAAAAAAAGAUUGAUCGUGGAAAUGAGAUGAUAUUUUGGCAUUCCUUAAAAAAUUUAAGGCACUUUUUAAAUUUCGUCUAAUGCAAAAGAAGAAAAGGAGUGCUUUAGGAGUGCGACUAUGAUUGGAUAUCAAAUUUUAUUAAAUAAUAUUUCGUUUGUAUUAUAAAUAUAUUUUUCAAUUCAUCUUUUCAUAUCUUCAAUUACAUUUUUUUUAUCUCAUAUACAUCACAUUAUAAAAAAUGUUAUAAUAAUUAUUUCAAAUAAUACUCUAUCCAUACAAACCCGAUUAUCAUUAGCCUUAGGUUUCCAUGCAAUCGAUGAUGAUGAUGAUCCAUCCUGAAUUCUUUAGGGGUUGAUAUUUGAAACCAAAAGUGACUUUUGGGAAUAAUGCAAAGAGUGUUAGCAAGUGCACGUGGGCUACAUGUAUAUGUUUUUGUCCUGAGAUGCAAAUUGGCAGGAAAGUAACGUUGGUGUAACGUGGGGCGGCCAAAAAUUAAUUUGUUGGGCUCUUAGGAUGGUGAUGCUCUUUUAUUGUUAGAAGGGAGGCUGAGGUGACAAAUUUUACCAUUUGUAAUGCGAAAUUUUUUUUUAAAAGACAAAAAAUGAAGGAAGAAAAUAGGAUAUUGCAGAAAAUGACCAAUUUGGGAUCGUUUCCCUAUUUAUUUCGUGAUCUAAACUGAACUUUAUAAUUGGUGUCCCCACAUUUUGACAAUAGAAAGAGAUAUGAUGGUCUCUUCACUUUUGAAGGUGCAACAAGAAAAGUGGACACCGGGCCAAGAAAACAGCCCAGAUCAAGAAACUUAUUUUCGAAGGGACUUUGCACUAAUUAGUCGCUGCUCUUCUGUUUGGUUAACAGCUCAUUUUUCAUUCAUUGAUUUAAAUAAUUAGACGACGAGAGUAGGAUUAAUUACGUCGUGUGAUGCACGCGCAUGCUUGCAGCGUGGUUGGCUUAAGAUGGUCAUUCAGCUGCUAACCAGGGUGUAUGAUUAUUAAUUACAUAUGUGUCUGAGGAGCAGGUGACAAAGCGCGUGGAAACAGACGAGAAGGACUGGAGUGACUGGAACUGGAGGACGGACGGGGACAUGAUGGUAAAUGGAGCGUUCUUCGUCCCCUCGGGCGAGGGGCUGAGCGCCCAAUAUGCUAGGGCCACCAGCGUCGAGCCCAAGUCUUCUGGACUUAUUGACCAGCUAACUUUCAACUCCGGUGUCCUUGGUGGGCCCAGGUAUCCUAUACAACUCCAGCUUCUUUAGUUCUAUGACCUUUUUUUUUUGGGUAUCCCCCCCCCCCCCCCCCCGGGCCACCCCAAAAAACCAAUCCCACAAAAAUUUUUUUUUUUUUGCUUUGGCCUUCACAACGCAACUCAAAAUACCUGUCAGAUUAACCGUCCCAAUUGAAGGCCUCCUAAGUGCCAAACCACCAAAAUGCCACUGGGCCAACUUGGUGGAUUUUUUGGAUGCAUUUGGGAUAUGCCCAUUGCCAAGUCAAAUUCCCUAAUCAACUUGUCUGGGGAACCGAUACUACUCCGUACUAUUUCUGCUCGACCUGCCCCUUGCUGUCAACUGCUCGACCUGCCCAUUAAAAGUAUCUUGCUUUUUUUUUUAACUGUGUCAAAAUAUUUGUCAUAUUUGACAUUUUUAUCUAUUUUAUACUCUAAAUUUUUUUUAUAUCCUUUAUUAAUGAUGCAUAAAAUCAAAUGUGAUGUGAUUGCUUUUUAUUUUUUUACUUUAAUCAGCACAUGAUUAAGGAUAAAUAUAAAACAAAGAAAAAAUAUUUUGAUGAAGUGUAUUUUGCAUAAAAAACACAUAGCCAAAAUAUGAUAUGACUAGACAUAUGGGACAGAGGUAUGUGUGUAAUUUUAUGAAGUCUAACGGCAAUAAUUCGAGUAUGCUACGGAAGAGAGGAGCCAAUUGGACAUGCAGAAGACACAAUUUUCUCCCUCCAAUUCAUAUUGGUUGCUCGGAUGAGAAUAUAUGCCCUGUUAUCCAGCUAGUAGUGUAAAACAAUCAAUCGGAAUGUCAGACAAUAUGAAACAAAGGAAAAAACAAUAAUGAUCCAGAAUUUCAAAUGCGGACAAGUUUUUUUUUUUUUUUUUUUUUGUCAAGUUUACCUGCUACAAAUUUUUUAAAAAUUUUAUCUACAAUAAUCUCAAAAAAUUUUUACAAUAAAUUAUAAUAAAAUUUUAAAAAAAUAUUCAAAAAAUUCGCUUGUCAAACAUAACCGGGUUUGGUUUUGAAAAACCCUUGGCGUUGCAUGUACCAUGAUACUAAUAUAUAUAUAUAUAUAUAUAUAUAUAUAAAACAGGAGUAAGUCACUUAUAGGGCAGUGGAAAGAAAUAGUAGUAGUAGUGGCAGUAGUAAAAGCGGAGAAAUGACAUGGGACCAAGAUUAUAGGCAUAGGGUGAAGAGUGAGUGCGAAGGAAGAGGGGGUGUUGAUGGAUGGAUCGGAUUUGGAUGCACGUGAAGGCGCGGGUGUUGGGAAUCUAAAAGCUGGCCGGCCAGACAGACAGCCUUAACAGAGUUGUCUUUUAGCGUUUGCUUUUGUUGUCUUUUUGGUCGGAUUUACUGCUAACAAUUGCUGUCUUACAACAACCAUCACUUUCACUCCCGCCUUUUACAAACCCUCCUUACAACUUAGGAAUCUGCUAAUUACUAAACCAAUCAGUUCAGACUUCAGAGGAGGAGUAGUAAAUAAUCAAAGGUCGGUUGAGCGCGUAAAUUUUGGUGAUCAGAUCUCUCUGUCAAGCACCCUCAAGGUCAACACGUUUCAACUACUAAAUAGUAAAUGUUUUAUGUUUGUCAGAACAAAAAAAAAUGUACUCUAAUGUCUCAUAUUAUGUCUCAACACGAGAAGUGUUCUAAAUUCAUACGAAUGAAUGGUGCAUUCAUCUGGUCAGAUGGUAGUUAAGUCCCCGUCAGGUUUUCCCGACUCAAUUGGCUCACUUUCUAGAGUUGCUCCCGAUCCAAUUGGCUCACUCCCUAGAGUUACUUCUCUUAAAGUAAGUCCCCCCUCUUAGUAGCAGGAGUAGGUUAGAUUAGAUGUGCCGUCAGUGAAAAAAAAAAAAAAAAUCUCUCUAUUGUGAAUGGACGAUAACUGAUCAUCGGGUAAAGAAAACAGUAGUAGUAGUGGCUUUGUGCCAAUAAAUUUUAAGAAAUAAUAAAAUAUUAGUACUAAGCUAAGCUAGUGUGUGACUUGUUGGAACGGAGAUACCUGAGAGAGGGGCGAUUUGGGGUGGGGGGGGGGGCCUUUUUAUUGAUCUUCUUUCUUGUUCCUGGUGUGAAAAGUGGAGCGGGUUAGAUAUAAAAAAUGUUCUCAGAUUCUUUUUCCAUUCAAUAAAUGCUCUCCAGCCAAUUCCGCGUUGGAUGGGGUUGUGGGGCCUGAGUCUUUUAUGCUACUGUGUAGUAUUCCAUUCGGGAACCACUUUUGGUACAAACAAAUUAGUUCGGCUCGUUAUUAUUAUUGAUUUCGACAUUGGAACGGGAAACUGGAAAAGAGCCUGCGCAAAAACAGACUGCUGCACAGCAUCAAAAUCACAGUAGUAUCAAGUUGGACACAAUUAUUUACGGGGGAUGAGAAGGCCUGGGGACACCGUUCUAAAUCAAAGGAGAUUUGAUCAUCACGCGUGUUUGAGACUUUUUUAAGCACUGUACUGGCAUUGUUAUUAUCAAAAUACGAUAAGUUGUUGUAGAUUUAUUUAUGACUGUCUGGUUUUUUGGUGCAAGAAGGAAGUUGUUGUGUGAGAGGAUGACUUCCCAUCUUCAUCAUGCAUCUAAUGAAUCAAAGGCAGACAGAAAGAAGAGUGGCGGCUUUGAUAAAUAAUAAUAAUUAUGAGAAAGAAGGGGGGUGUCUGAAAAAGAAUUAAUGCCCCCUUCAAUUAUUUUGGCUCUGGUCUUCAAAUCCCUCGAUUGGUUGGUUAGAUGACUUGCUUAAAUCAAUCAAUCAAUCAUCAUCAUCAUCAUUAUUAUUAUUAUUGCAUGGUUUUUUUUUUUGGGGUCCAACAACCAAGUUACCACUCUUUUCCGGUGGACUGGUGGUGUUUUCUGCCCUUCCAUUCUUAUCCUGAGCUUAUGGUUCUGAUGCUGAUAUGAUAAUAAUGGUAACCAUGGUACAGGGACAACAGCGUUAGCAUGUCCUACGGCGGGGGGUCUACCACCGGAGACAGCGCCAACGGUUAUGGCGGUUCGGGGUCCACUCCUGGCGGAGAUGGCGACUUCUUCGGUAUGAUAUUUGGCAGCGGCGCACCACCACCUCCUCCUCCUCCUACAGCAUCCGCGCUCGUCUUUUGGUCUCUUCUAAUUAUUUUAAUUUUGUGCAUGAUCACCAACCAAGGUGCUCUACUAUGAUUAUUAUUACCAGUACAUAGGAAUUUAAAGAGCCAAAAAGAAAAAGAAAAAGGAAGAAACUAACAUUUUUAAUUAAUUAUUUAGAGGGAAAAAGGAAGAAGAUCAACCAUCACAUCUCUUCCU